UACGGGAGGCAGCAGCAAGGAAUUUUUGGCAAUGGGCGCAAGCCUGACCGAGCAACGCCGCGUGCCGGAUGACGGCCUUCGGGUUGUAAACGGCUUUUGGUGGGGAUGAAACGGACCGUACCCGCCGAAGAAGCCCCGGCUAACUCUGUGCCAGCAGCCGCGGUAAGACAGAGGGGGCAAGCGUUGUCCGGACUGACUGGGCGUAAAGGGCACGCAGGUGGCACGACACGUGGGGUGUGAAAGCGGUCGGCUUAACCGACUGAGGCCAUUCCAUACGGUCGAGCUGGAGACGUGCAGAGGGUGGCGGAAUUACCGGUGUAGUGGUGAAAUGCGUAGAGAUCGGCAGGAACACCAAGGGGGAAACCAGCCACCUGGGCACGGACUGACACUGAGGUGCGACAGCGUGGGGAGCGAACCGGAUUAGAUACCCGGGUAGUCCACCCCGUAAACGAUGGACGCUCGGCAUCUGGUGGCUAUUGACGCCAGUGGGUGCCUCAGCAAACGCGAUAAGC
rnacentral:rRNA from 1 species